GACGAACGCUGGCGGCGUGCUUUACACAUGCAAGUCGAACGGUGAAGGUGGAGCUUGCUCCGCCGGAUCAGUGGCGAACGGGUGAGUAACACGUGGGCAACCUGCCCCUAACUUUGGGAUAACUACUCGAAAGAGUAGCUAAUACCGGAUACGAAGUCUGUAGGCAUCUACGGAUUUGGAAAGUUUUUCGGUUAGGGAUGGGCCCGCGGCCUAUCAGCUUGUUGGUGAGGUAGUGGCUCACCAAGGCGACGACGGGUAGUCGGCCUGAGAGGGCGACCGGCCACACUGGGACUGAGACACGGCCCAGACUCCUACGGGAGGCAGCAGUGGGGAAUAUUGCGCAAUGGGCGAAAGCCUGACGCAGCAACGCCGCGUGCGGGAUGAAGGCCUUCGGGUUGUAAACCGCUUUCAGCAGGGAAGAAGCGAAAGUGACGGUACCUGCAGAAGAAGCACCGGCUAACUACGUGCCAGCCGCCGCGGUAA
rnacentral:rRNA from 1 species